rnacentral:rRNA from 1 species
UACGAGGGGGGCGAGCGUUGUUCGGAAUUAUUGGGCGUAAAGGGUGCGUAGGCGGUUCUGCAAGUCCUGUGUGAAAUCUUCGGGCUCAACUCGAAGUCUGCACGGGAAACUGCGGGGCUUGAGUGUGGGAGAGGUGAGUGGAAUUCCCGGUGUAGCGGUGAAAUGCGUAGAUAUCAGGAGGAACACCGGUGGUGUAGACGGCUUUCUGGACCGUAACUGACGCUGAGACACGAAAGCGUGGGUAGCAAACAGG